rnacentral:rRNA from 1 species
GUGCCAGCCGCCGCGGUGAUACGUAGGGUGCGAGCGUUGUCCGGAUUUAUUGGGCGUAAAGGGCUCGUAGGCGGUUGAUCGCGUCGGAAGUGGAAACUUGAUGCUUAACGUUGAGCGUGCUUUCGAUACGGGUUGACUUGAGGAAGGUAGGGGAGAAUGGAAUUCCUGGUGGAGCGGUGGAAUGCGCAGAUAUCAGGAGGAACACCAGUGGCGAAGGCGGUUCUCUGGACCUUUCCUGACGCUGAGGAGCGAAAGCGUGGGGAGCGAACAGGCUUAGAAACCCUGGUAGUCC